GGGAAAAGUUGAAAAGAACUUUGAAGAGAGAGUUCAAAAGGGCGUGAAACCGCUUAGAAGAAAACGGACGGAGCCGUCAGGAGCCGUCGAGAAUCAGUCGUACGAUCCGCGAAGGCGUGUCCGGUACUAGAACGCGAGUCUAGCCGGCGCGUCGUUAGUAGCAGUCGCGCGGCGCAUUUCUCGAUGGUAAGCGCUGCGACCGAUACGAAAGGCCGGCGAAGCGAUUCGAUUGAGGUCGAGUCUCGAAAGAGACUCGCUACCAGUCCUAUCGUCUGAUCCCGCCGGACCGCCGUAUGUUUCGAGCGCCUCCUAAGAUGAUACGUCGGCGUAAACGCUCGUCUCGGCGAUGGAUAGCCGGUCGAUCACGUUCGGUCUCUGCUCGCAGGUACCGGCGAAUCUGGCCGACUUUGAAGUCGCGGACGACACAUUCGACGUAUCGGCGUCUGCAGCGUCAGCGUCGGUCACCCGUCCGACCCGUCUUGAAACACGGACCAAGGAGUCUAACAUAUGCGCGAGCUAAUAGGUGGUAAAACCUAAAGGCGCAAUAAAAGUAAACGCCGUCUCAGACGGCCGAGAUACGAUCCCGGAGUCCGUCGCGUCGUCCGGGCGCAGUAUCGUCCCGUCUCGACCGCACGUCGGUAGGGCGGAGAUAGAGCGCAUACGUUGGGACCCGAAAGAUGGUGAACUAUGCCUGAGCAGAGCGAAGCCAGAGGAAACUCUGGUGGAGGUUCGUAGCGGUUCUGACGUGCAAAUCGAUCGUCAGACUUGGGUAUAGGGGCGAAAGACUAAUCGAACCAUCUAGUAGCUGG
rnacentral:rRNA from 1 species